GGUGGCUCAAUGGUAGAAUGCUUGCCUUGCAAGCAUGAGGCCCUGGGUUCGAUUCCUCAGCACCA
rnacentral:tRNA from 1 species